rnacentral:ncRNA from 1 species
UAAGCAAAGUUUAACGCUCGUGCCAGCACGAGCCUUAUGGAAG